AUUGAACGCUGGCGGCAGGCUUAACACAUGCAAGUCGAGCGGAGAGAGGUAGCUUGCUACUGAUCUUAGCGGCGGACGGGUGAGUAAUGCUUAGGAAUCUGCCUAUUAGUGGGGGACAACAUUUCGAAAGGAAUGCUAAUAACGCAUACGUCCUACGGGAGAAAGCAGGGGAUCUUCGGACCUUGCGCUAAUAGAUGAGCCUAAGUCGGAUUAGCUAGUUGGUGGGGUAAAGGUCUACCAAGGCGACGAUCUGUAGCGGGUCUGAGUGGAUGAUCCGCCACACUGGGACUGAGACCCGGCCCAGACCCCUACGGGAGGCCGCAGUGGGAAAUAUUGGACAAUGUGCGGAAGACUGAUCCAGCCAUGCCUCGUGUGUGAAGAAGGCCUUAUGGUUGUAAAGCACUUUAAGCGAUGAGGAGGCUACUUUAGUUAAUACCUAGAGAUAGUGGACGUUACUCGCAGAAUAAGCACCGGCUAACUCUGUGCCAGCAGCCGCGGUAACAC
rnacentral:rRNA from 1 species